rnacentral:rRNA from 1 species
UACGGGGGGAGCAAGCGUUGUUCGGAUUUACUGGGCGUAAAGGGCGCGUAGGCGGCGCAACAAGUCACUUGUGAAAUCUCCGGGCUUAACCCGGAGCGGUCAAGUGAUACUGUCGUGCUAGAGUGCGGAAGGGGCUACUGGAAUUCUCGGUGUAGCGGUGAAAUGCGUAGAUAUCGGGAGGAACACCAAUGGCGAAGGCAGCUCGCUGGGACGUUACGUGACGCUGAGGACGCGAAA